UUAAAAAUAGUUUUUGGAGAAAAGCAGUAAGGCUACAACAUGGUGAAAAAAGUUAAGAAAUUGAGAUUUCCACCGAAAGAAGGUUGAAGAAAGUAGCCAAAAGUGUUAUAAAAUGAAAUUAGACUGUAGAAGUUGAAUUGGCAAUGACAUUUGCACAAAAAUAAUGAAAUAUGACAGUCGAUUUCAAAGUCCAACAUCAAGU
rnacentral:sRNA from 1 species